AGGCUUGUAGCUCAGGUGGUUAGAGCGCACCCCUGAUAAGGGUGAGGUCGGUGGUUCAAAGUCCACUCAGGCCUACCA
rnacentral:tRNA from 2 species